GGGGUUUCCUCCUUGGGAACGCUGUCUGUCUGGCAGCCAAGGAAGGCCGCGGCCUCUGGGGAUCCCCGCCCGUAUCGAGCGCCCCUUGCCGAGGGAACCUGGCUCGGCGAGCGGUGCGCGCAGGCUCGGAGGCGUGAGAGCGGGCCGGGCGGCGGCGCGGCCGGGAGCGGGUGACUCACCGGGCGGGGGCGGCUGGGGGCGGCUAGGGGCGGCCGCGGAGCCAACUGCAGCAGCAGCGGGCCCAGCCUGCCCCGCAACAGCCAGCGCGGCUCCUGGAGGGAAACGAGCAAGGCGGCCCCGCAGGUGUGGCGCGGCCCUGGGAGGGCGCGUGCGAGCGCUGCUUUGUUUGGUGCCCGCACAGCCCCGGGCUCCAGGCCUGAGCGCCAACCUUCCCGAGCUGAGUCACGGCUGCAGAGCCCGAGGGCGGCCAUACGGCCCCGCCCGGAAGGAUGAGGCCCCUUCCUGAAGCUGGCGAGUCCGAUGCGGUGGCAGGGACAAAAGCCAGGGGAAGGUGGCUUCUAUUCUACAAAGCCCUUUAGGGAAGGGGGGAGUCAGGCCGCCCUCACCCAGUGCAGGUCCGUCACGAUGGUCACCCAGAGCACUCACGCAGAAAGCCAGCUUGCAGCCGCCAGCCCUGAGGAUGCCGCCCCCAAAGGGCUCAUUGCUCUAAUCACCCGUCCAGGGGCUUGAGGCAAAGCUCCAAGACAGACCUGUAGCAGCAUGGCCCAAAAAGUUCCUCUGCUGCCCCAGUCCCAUACCUGCCUGAGGUACGGGGGUUCAGGCUGAGUCGGCUGACCUGGAGUCAUCUGGAAGCCUUGUCAGAAAUGCAGAUUCUGCAGUGCUGUUCCCAGAGGAUGAGAUUCAGCAGAACUGGGUGUUGGAUAUUAUAUGAAGAGAUUUGCAAGUGUUAUUUUACGUAAUUCGCACUUUACAAAGGAGGAAACUGCAGCGCAGGUACCAAGGUUGCCCCAUCUCGGUCCAGGCCUGCUCCCGGCGAGCCACUCGCCCUUGACCACGCCUCCUCUCUCCUGAUUGGCUGUCAGGCAUGAGUCAUUAAGCUCACUAAGACAAUAAUCAAAGACCUAUAAAACCGUGAACUUCUUGAGACAAUGAGGAUGCCUCUAACAGACUUGGGAAGAAAUCCUGCACAAAGAGCUGGGGAAAAAAGGGAAGAAAAGCACAUAGAAUACUCCUUCAAGGCAGGCAUUGGCAGACCUUCCACCGUGCACCAGGCUCUGUGCUAAGAUUCACCCUGGAGUAACCCUGCCUCUGGGGGUGAAGUUGCUAUAUCUGGCUGCGUUUUGGCCAGCCGACCCUCUAGGCAGCCCUUAAUUCUUGCUUCUCAAACUUACUUCCAAGGACAGAGAAAGAUGACCACUGCCCUCACCCCACUAAAGAAGCCCCAGCACUUAGCAAGCACUUAUGGCCCAGAGCAGACUGUCUCUACUUCAUUUCACUCUCCACACCCAGACUUGGACCACACUUGGAAAAGAACCAGCCAGUCCUGGAGGCUGCAUAUUGUGGAUAGCAGGACUCCACUCACAUCUCAAAGCUCCUCCCUGCCCAUUCCCAUGGUCCCUCCAGCCCUUGGGCAAUACUACCAAUAAGAAGGAGAAAUGAGCUGGAUUUCACUUCCUUUGGAGCAGGUGUGAAUAAACAGAAUUGUCCCAAACUUGGGCAGCAGAAGUGGGGAAAGAAGAAAGGCAACCGGCCAGGCGCGGUGGCUCACGCCUGUAAUCCCAGCAUUUGGGGAGGCCCAGGCGGAUCACCUGAGGUCAGGAGUUUGAGAACAACCUGGCCAACAUGGUGAAACCCAUCUCUACUAAAAAAAUACAAAAAUUAGCCAGGCAUGAUAGCUACUUGGGAGGCUGAGGCAGGAGAAUCUCUUGAACCCGAGAGGUGGAGUUUGCAGUGAGCUGAGAUCAUGCCACUGCACUCCAGCCUUGGUGACAGAGCGAGACUCCAUCUCAAAAAAAAAAAAAAAAAAAAAAAACCAGAAGAGAGCAACCAAUACUUAUGAAGCCUCUGAUAGUUACUCAAAUGCCACCAGUAAACCCACGAGACGCACAGGCUGGGAUUGGUAAGGCAACUUGCCCAAGGUCACCCAGCUAGAAAAGGCUAGAGGCGGGCGAGAGGGGAGCUCCAGAACCACCCCAAACACACUGCCUCCCCCACACCACUGCCUCCCCAACACUGCCUUCAAGAAAGAGAAAUCGAAGGACCUGGACAAUUUGCAAGCUGACUGCUCAGCUUCUGGACUCAUCCACCGCGUUUGUCAGAAGUCCCUGCAGAUGCCCGGCCACUAUGCCAGUACUCUCGUCUCGGGCUGCACUUGGAACUGGGUGGACAGCUGUAGAAGGACUACUAGUGCCUGGGCCCACCCCUUCUCCCCACCCCCAGUGCCUCACUUAACUGUCUGAGAUUCAGCCUAAGCACUGGGCUUUUAAAGUUCCCAGGUGACCGUUGCCCUCCGGGAUCCAUAUUCUCUUCAUCUGUAAGAUGGGGCUAAUGAUGUCUCCCAAACAGGGUGGUUGUAAGGAUGAAGUGUGAGGGGCCUAGGAAGGGAGGCCUGGAAAGAGGGAAGAGGACUGCUCAUCGCUGGGCUGAGGCUGCAGCCACCCUGUGCUAGGUGCUGUGCUACAGCCUGGGUCACUCUGCCAGGACCUAUAGGCUCCCUGCUUGGGGCAUGGUGCCCUGACCCUCGGCUCACGUCUGCCCAGAUCCUUACAGCUGAUGGAACCCUUUGCUCCAAGAGACGAGGUUGGCACACCGUGGUCUCAAUAAAUGUUUGUCGAGUAAACAGAUGAAGAUGUCCUUCGAUCUUCACAACAGUUUUGAGAAGCAAAAUGAAAAAGGACUCUCCCUUGACCCAAUAGAAAGGGAAGUUUGGACUCACCUCAAGGUGCUGUCACUAGCCAUGUGUUCCAGAGCAGCAACAUAACUUCUCAAAGCCUCUGUCACUUCAUUUGUAAAGCAGGACUUUGUCACUAUUGCUAGGUUAUAGGACUAUCCUGAAGAGCUGCUGAGACAACAUACGGGGGAAACAUUUCUAUAAAUUAUUUUUUGAUGAGGGAAUUGAGGUUUAUAGGGGUUAAGUGACUUGCCCACAGUCAAUCAGUAAAUUGUGAAGCCAAAACUUAAACUCGGGACCAGAGAGUUCCUGGGCGUGAGACAAACAAACGAACAAACAACAACAACAACAACAAAACCCCAAAACACUCAAAUAAUAUGUGGUUGCAGAGAAGGGAUGCAGAUAUUUGAAGAACAGACCUGAGGCUGUGUCAGCCCCCAAGGCACAUCUGAUGGGGAGUGUGUUGAGUUGAACUUUGCAGGAGGG
rnacentral:lncRNA from 1 species